GGGAGUAUAGCUUAGUGAUAGAGCACUUGCCUACUGUGCUUGAGGCUCUUGGUUCAAGCCCCAGCACCACCA
rnacentral:tRNA from 1 species